GAAAUGCGAUAAGUAAUGUGAAUUGCAGAAUUCAGUGAAUCAUCGAAUCUUUGAACGCACAUUGCGCCCUUUGGCAUUCCGAAGGGCAUGCCUGUUCGAGCGUCAUUACACCAAUCAAGCCUGGCUUGGUAUUGGGCGACGGGGUCGGUCGAACCACCCCCCGCCCCAAAGACCUUUCCGGCGGGGCGGACCGAAUCUCAGCGUUGUGCAAACGUGUCGCUGGCGAGACGGGACGGCCGUGCCGUUAAACCCCAUUUUCUUCAAGGUUGACCUCGGAUCAGGUAGGGAUACCCGCUGAACUUAAGC
rnacentral:misc_RNA from 1 species